AUUCAGUUGACGAGUCCCAAAUAGGACGAAACACGCGUCCUGGAU
rnacentral:hammerhead_ribozyme from 1 species